UCAUCGGGAAAAGUUACAUCGCCAGGGAACUUGUGGACAGUUAGUAUAAUUCUAAUGUUCAGCAGAGAGAUAGAACAUAUCCAUGGAAUUAUUGAUCAGCUUAAUGUCAGUCACAGCAUUACCCUUUUCUUAAAUGGGAACGUAGGUUUGGAUGUGAAUUCUGAGAGAUUUGCACAGGCUGUGUGGGAUUGAACAUGGCAAUCGACAUGCAAUGACUUGCGACCCCGUGGCGACCUCCUGAACUCCGCCCUAGCCAUGGAGGCCGGGGCUGAAAUCCAAGUCACCCACCCACCGCGGCUACUCGUCAGGGAGCACGGCAAGAAGCACUCAGAUCCUCUGGGAGUUCAGCAUGGUAAUGAAGUAAGAGAAACAACUGCCAGCAAGAUAACAUGUUCUUUCAGCUCAGCCUGUUACCCACAUCUAGCUCUCAGUGUUCAUCUGCUCCCCCAGCUGUCACGCUCCAAGUUAAAAUAAACCUCUUC